UCUAGAGGACCUCCAUGAGGUUCACAAGCCAAAGUUUCCAUCUUUCUGCUGGGCGUCUUUUGAUAGCCCACUGCAGUCCUGUUCACUCUUGAGUGCUCUUUUCAGGUAGUCCCUGUAGCCAUCCUGUUCUGGAAGUUUCUGUCAGACAUCCAGGGAAACCCAAGAAGCCAGAGAUCUGUCCUUGAGACCCUACUCACACAGUAGGCAACCUGAUGAUGGAGCCGAGGGCCUCACGGAGAACAGUGGGAACCGGCAUGUCAGCACCUAAGCUGAGAUCCAUCGCCAGGGGCCCCGGAACCAGAGGACGCACACCCUUGGGGAACUAGCGAUAACUUGGCAAGACAAGAUUCCUCUUAUGGAACCCACCACCCUGCAUUAGUCUGGACCAGGAUAGUUGCUUGGGAAGGUUUGCUGAUCAGAAUCUGUUCCACUGGAAAUCCUACAAUUCCACAAAGCCGUGACCGGUCUCAGCUGACACCUCCGCUGCUCUGGAAACCCAAGAACAGGCUGGAGAAAGGUCGACCCCAAGGGACUUCCAGCCUCAUUAAUAAAGAAGGGGGGAUGCCCGUAUA